GAGUCGCUGAGGAGGAGGCGGCUCCUGGUCCCUGCGCGCCAUCCGCCACCUUACUGGACACGGGCGACGGAGCGAGAGCGUCGCCUCUGUAGCCUUCAGAGAAGACAAGGGCAUCGCCGCCUCAGCUGCCGCCGCCGCCGUUUUCGCCUGCAGCCGCUCGCCGGAUUCUCAGUUGUCCACAAUGAACCCUGUUUAUAGCCCCGUGCAGCCUGGGGCUCCUUAUGGCAACCCGAAGAACAUGGCCUACACAGGUUACCCCACAGCCUACCCAGCUGCGGCCCCUGCCUACAAUCCCAGCCUGUACCCCACCAAUAGCCCCAGUUAUGCUCCAGAGUUUCAGUUCCUGCAUUCAGCUUAUGCAACUCUGCUGAUGAAACAGGCCUGGCCACAGAACUCGUCUUCCUGUGGCACUGAAGGCACCUUCCACCUCCCAGUGGACACCGGGACCGAGAACCGAACUUACCAAGCAUCCUCUGCGGCUUUCAGAUAUACUGCGGGGACACCAUACAAAGUCCCACCAACCCAGAGUAAUACUGCUCCGCCCCCCUACUCCCCUUCACCCAACCCCUACCAGACGGCCAUGUAUCCAAUCAGAAGUGCCUACCCCCAGCAGAAUCUGUAUGCCCAGGGAGCUUACUAUACACAGCCGGUGUAUGCUGCCCAGCCCCAUGUCAUCCACCACACCACGGUCGUCCAGCCCAACAGCAUUCCCUCUGCUAUCUACCCGGCGCCUGUCGCCGCUCCCAGGACCAACGGCGUGGCCAUGGGAAUGGUGGCCGGCACCACCAUGGCAAUGUCAGCAGGUACCCUGCUGACUGCACCCCAGCACACCGCGAUCGGGGCACACCCUGUCUCCAUGCCAACAUACAGGGCCCAAGGGGCCCCUGCGUACAGCUAUGUGCCCCCGCACUGGUAAAGCCUGCACCCAUCCAAACCCGGAGUCACACAUUGUAUGCAACUACUCAAGUCUUACACAGGUGCUGGAGCAGCUCCCUAGCAGCACCACCUCUAUUUGCAAGAAGAGACAACGGAAGUGCAAGGGUCACUUUAUGCAUCAUUAACGGUUUUGGUUUUUAUUUUUGGUUUUUGUAAAAGCUGCUUUUUCUAAUCUCCUGCCUCUCCCCACCGUCCCCCUGAGCCGCUGCCCUCCCAGCUCCACCCUUCUCCUACGUGACCAGGCACAUCCUCUCUGCUCCUUUCCUCCCCCAAGCGUUCAGUCCUGGGAGCCUAGUCUAGCGGCAGGCAGAGAGUGGGGUCUGUUGCAGUGGUUCAGCUGCAGGUGCGAUUUCCUUUGAAGAGCAUAGUGGAUGUGACCCUUGGGUCCAGAGUAGGAACUCAGAACUGUUGAGCAAGCCACAUCUCUGAGGGAUGGUUUCUUUUUCGAUUUUUCUCAAGCAGGAUUAGUUUAAGACACUGCUGUAUCCUGACGCAAAUGAAAUAUCUUCUGAUAUUUCUGAGAACCAUCGCAACAGACCAAGAACAAAACCACCUGAUUAGAUAAGGAAGCUGAGGCCCAGAGAAGAGGAAGGGACUUCCCUAGACCUUGCAGUAAAUUAGCAUUAAAUGCAACCUUCCUGCCUGGGGCAUGUUGCCCACAAAAAUUUACCUAGGGAUGGAUUGGCUUGGCUUUGUAAAAACGAAGCCAGCAGUGCCCACACCUGAUGAGCUCUGGAACAGUCUCUGGGCUUUUGUUUCUGCUCUUUUCCUCCAUGGAUUUCAAAGGCAGAGGUUGAAGACUUGGCCGAGGUCACAUGGGGGCAGAUGGUGGGAACAGAAAUUGCAAAUGAGGAAAUAGCAUUUGGAAAUUCUGUGAAGACAUCCGGACCUCUCAUCCUAUACCUGACUCCAAGCCCUUGGAGGAGCAGGUGGACUGGCUGAAAAGGAGUCCAUGCUGUUAAGACAGUAGCCCCUCAUCCUGAGAGGAGAGGAGGAAACAUGCACUCUCUGGGGAGAAGGGGGACCCCUGGGUCAGGAGGCCCCAUUGGUCUCAGCCAGGAGCCCAGCUGUCUAACACUGCCCCCCUGCACCCGGCACUUGGAGGGGUUAGCAGCCCCUUCGGGGAUGGUUGGUGGGGGGGGGGGGGGGUGGCGUGCACAGGAACAUUUUACUGAACAAAAUGGGAUCAUUGAUGACAUUUAGAACUUCUAAAUAACUCUCUUUAUUUUAAAUUCAUGCAUAUGUGGAUAUAUCCCUACCCUACCUCCCAUGUCUCCCUAAGGAGGAAAUAAUCAGGAAACCCCUGGGCCAGGAGGACCUCAGAGGCUAUCUGGCUGUUCCCAGGGGUGCACAGCCCAGCAGCAUCCUCGACCUGGGAAAUGCAGGACCAGUAAGGAAAAGCCCCGCUGUUCUAAACGGUCUGCUCAGGGGUGCUGAAAAGGUUUUGUUUUAAAACAAUAGAAAAUUUUCCAGUGUUAAUCCUUUUUUUUUUUUUUUUUUUUCUUUUUUUGGGCAAAUACCUCCUCCUACUCUCUGGUUGUAUAAGGGUGGGUGAAGGUUGUUUUAGAUUAUGUCAUACAUGUUCAGAAAAUGCCAAAAUAAUAAUAAUGAUUAUAAUAAUAAUAGGAAACAUAUGUGUUUGUCAGGUGCUUCAUAGACUUCAGAGCACUUCACAGCCUUUAAUUUACUGACCCUGAGGGAAAGACAAGGUCAGAGUUAUUUCACCCAUUUGACAAAUGAAGAAACUGGUCCUAUUUAAUAGCAGGAAAAGGAACUUGCCCCAAAGUGAGCAGAAUGCUGACACCCCAGUAGGCUCCCCUGAACCCCACUGCCUCCAGAUGGGCUGGGGCAGAACCAGAGGAGGGGAAAGGAGAUCUAGGAAUUACCUUUUUACCUUUGUUCAUUCUGUACCAGUAUGUGAAAACUAACAUCUAGUACCUGUUUUUCACAAAACAAUUUCAUACCCAUCAUCUGGUUUAACCCCAUGAAAAAAAUGAUUCUCUCAUUUGAUCCAUGAGGAAACUGAGACUUGGAAAAGCAGAGUGACUUGCUUAUAAGUGGCAGAGCUAUUUGAAUCUCAGUCUGUGGCCUCUUUUCCUCCAGUCUGACUCCACACACAGGCUUGUGGACUGAAACUCAAUGCUGUGCACCCUCUCCUGGCCCUUGUAUGUAAUUCAAGAUCAAGGACAGACCCCAAGGCAGAAACAAGGUGUGGAAAGGCUGGGGUCUGGAAGAACCCAGGCACAGCACCCCUUUUGCGGGCUGAGCACCGGAGCCCCAGUUCAGCUGGCCUCGCCCUCUUGCUUUGACGGAGAUCCACAAGCCUGGCCAAGCUUGGGGAGUCACUGCAGAGGGACUGAGCCCAGGAGAACGAGGCAGUCGUGUGCCUAUGGUAGGAUGAGCACACGUGGGGUCACAGGCAUCCAUCAGGAGGUACCAUGAGCGUCAUCCACAGAUACUGGAUGGCCCAGUGGUCGAGCUGGACAGAAGGUCAGAGCUUGACGGGCCCUGUCAUUUUAGGAAGUCCAGCAAGCCAGAGAGGACAAGGGGUGUGCCCACAUGACAUUCAAGCUGCAGCAUGGCACCAGCAAAGCCCUCUCCACCCCAUUCCACUGCUUCUCACCAGUGCCACAAGCUUGGUGGGCAGGGUUAGGGGUACAGGUGGUUCCAGUCACCAGCCAACCCUCACAGCUUCCCCCACUUCUACCUGCCUCCCUCUCCUUAGCCUGGGGCCCAGGAAGCUGGAGUCUGGAAUCUGGAGUGCCCCCAAGUGGUAAAAGAAUGAAAUUUAAUCUUUCUGCCACAUUUUGGAAAAAUUGAUUUCCUUUCUUCCCUGCAAGACAGGACAGUUGCUGCUCUUCCUCUCUCUCCCCUGGCAGUGACUAUAAAGUGAAUAUCCCCCUCCCUAUAUAUUGAAAAAGGACACUCACCUGUCUAGUUUAUUGCCUGUGUACGAACUACUUUGAUAUUGAUUGCCAAAAUUCCCAUUUUAUAGAUGGAAAAAACUAAGUCUCUGAAGGCUUAAGAGACUUGCCAAAGGUCACAUAGCUCAUCAGAGAAAGAGCCAAGAUUUGAAGAACCAACUCUUCAAAUCCUCUGCUCUUUCUGCUGAUACCUGCAGGCCUUGGUGGCCAGCAUGCAGAAGGGAUAGGCUACCUGUCUGCCCCUAAACAGAGGAACACUCCAGGGAAACCUGGGAAGUCAGUCUUCCCCGCUGAGCAGAUUUUUAUGAGGAGCCCUGGAAACCCAGAGGCAAUUCCAGCUGGCAGCACUCGAAGGACAGGAAUUUGCAAUAAGAGGCCUAACUUGAGCAAAGCACUUUGGGGUCUUGAUGCCUAGGACUGAAGACGUGUUCAGGGGCAGCCCCAGGCACCUGUCCACUGAAAGACCUAUGUCCUUAGGAAGCCUGUGUACCCUUGCUUUCUGACCCUGGAGAGCCGGCCCACUGUCCAGAUCCAGUGAGUUAGCACUUUCAGGGGACCUGGUGUAGCCCUGAAUGGUCAAAAGUACAUCUGAAUCCAGUCCCUGGAUUUGUUUUUCCCAAGGGUGAGGACCAGGAUCUAGAGAGACACUGUGCAGUCCUUCCACCUCAUCCCAACUCUUACCCUUGGCCACCCAAAGUGUUCCAGAGAUCUGGGAGUUUGUCCAGAGAGGCUGACUUUGUUCCAAGUACCCUUCAGAAAUGAAUCACAUGGAGCAUAGGAGUAGUGCAGAUCCUUUGGUCACCGAGUUCUGAUGUCCUCACUGUGCAGACGGGACUCGGCCAGAGGUCCAGAGAGGCACUGGCUGAAUCUGGCCUGGAGCCCUGCAUGUCAGACCCUCAGCUCUGCUCUGAGGGAGGCCAGAGGGAGGCCUAGAGGGCACAGGUCUUGGUCACAGCACUGUGGCUGGAUCAGUCACUGAGAUGUCACCAUGGCAUUUGCUCCUCAAUUGCAGUUCAAAGUACACGUGGAAGUUCUGCUUUUUACCCUGUAUUCCACAGCACUGUAGGGCAUGUGGUCCCAAGCUGAUUGCCAAGCUUGGGAAUCCAGAGGAGGCAGGUUGGGCAGUGGAGGGGCAGGCUCCAUGCCGGUGUCCAGCCCCAGGAGAAUCCAGGCUAGACUUACCUCCAAAAGCUGGAUCACAGUGGAGACCCAGCCAGGCUAACAUCAAAUUCCACAGCUGAGCCUGAGAGAGCUCAGCCUCCUUUGGGUGUGCCAGGUUGGCGGCAGGAUCUGUCCUUUACCUGUCCACGUCCCCUUCUAGAAAACCUGUUUCUGAAAUUAGGCAUUACAUGGUUCUAGGGCCUGGCCUUUAAAUUUCCUGGCAGGUCAGUUUCAACAUUCCAUAACCAGUCUUGCCUGAGCCAGACUUGGGUCUCACUCCUCACUUUCUCCAAUGGGUAUUUUCUACCUUGUGUGCUGUUGAGUCCAGCCCAGUGGCCAGGUGAUUAGGACUGGCUGCCACAGAGCCAGAAAGGGAAACUAGAAUGCUUGCUUCCCUGUGGCUGCAUCUGUAGUCCCUGGGUCUUCUUGCUGUGGCAUUGAGGCCCUGUACCCAGUCCAGCUCCUGGUAGAGGGGCUAUUUUCCUUUUUUGAAGAGAACACAUAUAACAGCUUUGCUGAUAAGUACCAGCCCAUAGGUCUCAAAUGGGUGAAGUCAUCUUUGGGCCUGACCCCAGCAAGACCAGCAUCUCCAGGCUCCAGCCUUCCUCCUCGUGCCUGAGAGUCAGGGAAAGAGUGGGACUGGCCGGAGACCACCUUCUCGGGUCAGCCAGCUUGUCUGGAUCUAUGGUGGGACUGCAGCUCUUCCUUACCCAAGGGGAGGUAAGGCCAGGCCUCUAGCAACGUGGCGUUGUCUGUCAUGACCUCUAAAGGCCCAAAGGCCUGUCCCCAUCUCCUGACUAAAAGGCAUCUGCAUCCCUGUUCAUAUCACAUGACAGAGAAACUUGUUCUCGUGGCAUGUACCAUCCCUGUGAGAGAGCGUUGUAUAUGAUUUUGUAUUUUUUAAUUCAUUUUAAUCUACAGGUUGGAAUCUAGUUUUUAAAUUUUAUUGGAACUCACAUUUUAAAAAGAAAAACAUUUAAAAUAAUAAUAAUAAACCUUUGACCGGUGUCUUCCAAGUAGUUUGAGCAAAGAACUUACAGGUGUUUUCAAAACACAGCCUGGAGUGUAAAGAGUGGAAAGCCCUGCGGCCUCGCUUGUGUGUAUGAAGUGUAAAUCUGGUUUUGUUCUGUUGUUUUGGAUUCUUUUGGGUUUUUGUUCCGUUUUGUUUUGAAGAUCAGAUAGUGAUCACUCUGAAAGAUUGAAGCCAAGAAUUUGUAACUAUGAUAUUUACUGUAAGCUGUAGAACAUUCAAUAACUAUUAAA